AAGUCGUAACAAGGUCUCCGUAGGUAAACCUGCGGAGGGAUCAUUACAGAGUUCAUGCCCCUCGGGUAGGACCUCCCACCCUUCGUGUAUUCAUACCUUUGUUGCUUUGGCAGGCCUGGCCAGGGCUUCGGCCAUGGGCUAAGUCGGCUCCCGGGCUCGGGUAAGGAAGCCCUGCCAAAAGGACCCCAAAAACUCUGAAUGUUAGUGUCGUCUGAGUACUAUAUAAUAGUUAAAA
rnacentral:misc_RNA from 1 species